CUUAGCAUGUGAGGAUCGAGAGAGAGAGAGAGAGAGACCCACACACAAAGCAUAAAUCAUCACAGAUCCAAAGAUAAUAGAAAGUGGCAGUCCCUGCAGUCUGCUAAAUCAGGCUCCUGCUUCCUCAAUCCGUUUUGUAAUUGCGCAGAGUGCUGAUCGGGUUGUUUUGGGACGAAGAGAGGGAAAGAAGAGAGCUAAAUGAAAACAGGCACAAUUGGAAAGAGGCUGUGUGCACUACAGUCACAUCGGCCGAAACUAAAGAGUGAGUGAACUUUUCGCCGAGCAAGCUGGGGGUCUUGGCUCGUUUGCGGAUUCUUGGCUCGUUUGCGGCCAGAGGGAUUGCUUUACUUUGUGGAAGGGUUGUUAGAUGAAGUUUGUGUGUCUAACGGUGGAGGGAUGCAGACCCUGUGGAUUCAACAGAGGUGUCGUGGCAGGGUCUGCUGAAGCAUCACCCAGGUGGGUCAGCUACUUACGCUGGAGAGAAACUGAGAAACGUCGGACAAAGCGAUGGGCCCUGAUGAAGAUCUUCUGGCUUGUCUGACAGACGGACUUUCUCCCUGGCUGUACCGUACCAUCGAUCCGCCCUCCUCUCAAGCCAUACUGAAUUUUACAAACUGACUCAACUCCAUUCCUUUUCCAUCUUUAAGUUGUUGUUCAUUGAUGAAUAAUGUUUAUUUUUAUUUUUUAAAGAGGACCACAAUGGAAUUAUGUUUUUAAACAUCUUUGUCUUUUCCUUAAAUAUAAAUGCAUUGUAUCUACAUGUUUAAAAAUAUAAAUCAGGAAAUCGGAGUGGUAUGUCAGGUAGCCUUGAGGUUAGAGAGGCCCCCCGAUGUUGCAUCCUACCAGCUCUCACAAUUAGACUUUAAUGCAUGUUUCUCAAACAUCAAAUUUCAAAGUUGUUCCAAACGUCAUAUUUCAACGUUUUUAAGAUUAAGUUUCAUCAUUAACUCUGAUUUUUUAAGGUUAGGGUUAAGUUCUGGCAUUAACUCAAACUUCUUAAAGUUUGGCAUUAAUUCCGAAUGGCUAAGGUAAGGGUUAAGGUUUGGGAUAGGUUUAAAACAAAAACAAAAAUUAUAUCACUAGAUUUGAAAUUGCAACUUUAGAAUCAGAGGCAGAUGCUUACACCCAUCUGCCAUCCCCAUCCAUCCAGCAAAACCAAAACCUACUUCAGGAUAACAGCACUCAACGUUGUCAAUAGUGCUGGUUUCCACUUCAUCUCCUGACAUCCGCAGACAUAGAUGGACCUCGAAUACUGACUUGAAUCACGGGUGACCUGGAUGGGUGUGAAAAGCUGGGGUCAAGUCAAUAAUUCUGCUAUUAGCAUCAAUUUGAUGUGGAUUUGAGGGACUCGAUUUGAUCAUACUCUAGGUUGCGUGAUGUAGAUACAAAUUGGAGGCAAAAUCUAGGCACUUGCUCUCUCUCUUUGUGUAUGUUAUCUUUUUAUACCCAGGACAUCAUUUGAUUCAUCUCCUCUAAACUAAAUCCUGGCUGUUGAGAGUCUGAUACUUACCAGAAUUAUGAAUCCUUCAUCCCUAUUGAAAGCUGGGAUAAAGAGACACAAGGGGUUGGAGUUGGAGUGGGGUUUGCUCACACCCCUUGGUAGGCCUGCUGGAUGCAAAGACAAUUACUGUUCUGAGUUAUGGGCACUGCUCUCUCUCUCUCUCUCUAGGGAGAGGAGACAAACUGCACUAAGAUAACGUGGGCUGUGCGGUCUUCUGCUAAUCCUCCUAAACUAGGCCAGAAAGCCUCUUCCAGGAAUGCAGAGGUAUUGUGAGGAUAAAUUGUUAGGAACUUUUGUUGUUUCUCUGUUCACUUGACUACCCAAAGAAUAUUGGUCUGUAGUGUAGUGCAUUCAGGGUGGCAAGGAGUUUGAGUUUCAUAUGCACAGGCACUACUGUAAACAGUGCUGGUAAGAUAAGAACAUGUUAUUUUCACCUGUAUUGCAAUAGGUUACUUGUUAUUUCAUACAACGGGUGGGUCUAACUCUGGAUACUGAUUGGUUAAAACCAGUGUCUAUUCCAGAAGUUACCUGCAGCUAAAUCUAUGAUCCAUCCUUCUGUGCAAACCACUGUCUCAUCAGCUCAGCCAGGCAAUUUAUAAACUUGAUCUCCACUGUAAAAAGCAUCUGGACAUUAUCUCCCAUUUCCUUUAGACUAGAAAUUGUUUUUCAACAGCGAAGAUUUGCAACAUAGUUUCAAUAUGGAAAUUCGAUCUCCAGCUGUCCCAUAGUAAUGAACAUGUCGGGAGUCGAGAUGAGACAGACAGGCAGCCAGCUUUUCACCGCCAGCCGAAAUCAUGAAUCAACACAAGUUUUAUGUAUAUACUGUAUACAAAGAAAUGUCAAUAGAAAAACAGUAAAUGUAGCUAGUUUGCUGUCAUUCCAGCUUCAGUUUGAAGUGAUUGUGUUAGCUGUGUAGUUGGCAAGCUCUUCUGAACAUUGUCCUGUCUAGAGAGCAAAUUUUUUAUGCCAGGUGAAAUCGCGCAUCAUUAGGUAUGGAUGUUUGAUGUGACCGUGUUAGCCGAACUUGGCUAGCUACCAAACAAGAGAUAAUAAUGUUGCCAGAACGAUUGGGUCGCGUCCAUAGAUUUAGAUCAAAAGACUUAACGACUGGGUCGUAUCUGGCAACCAUAGAACAAACAACCAGCCGGCUUGGGUAGCAACCCUAGAUUUGUUUCGGGACUAGAUCUCAAGGAAAGAUGAAAUAGUAUGACUAAACGUAUCAAAAUAUAUAUUUUUCAUAUGUUGGUAACCGGGUUGUAUAAAAGUGAUAAUGCCCAAGAAGCCGGUGUUUGGAGGAUAUAUUGGCACGUUUUGCCAGUCCUCAACUUCAUCUCGGGCCUAUCAACACCCGUGCCAAUAUCUUCCAAUCACCAGCUUCUCGGGAAUUAUCACUUACUUGUAGUCAACCAGUACAUGACAAUAAAUAGCAAAGCUGUAGAAUUAUACAAAGUUACAUAAAUAUAUUACUAUCUUCAA